rnacentral:rRNA from 1 species
CUGCUCAGGACGAACGCUGGCGGCGUGCCUAAUACAUGCAAGUCGAGCGGAUUGAAGGGAGCUUGCUCCUGAUAUUAGCGGCGGACGGGUGAGUAACACGUGGGCAACCUGCCCUGCAGAUGGGGAUAACUCCGGGAAACCGGGGCUAAUACCGAAUAAUCGGUUCUUCCGCAUGGAAGAACUCUGAAAGACGGUUUCGGCUGUCACUGCAGGAUGGGCCCGCGGCGCAUUAGCUAGUUGGUGGGAUAACGGCCUACCAAGGCGACGAUGCGUAGCCGACCUGAGAGGGUGAUCGGCCACACUGGGACUGAGACACGGCCCAGACUCCUACGGGAGGCAGCAGUAGGGAAUCUUCCACAAUGGACGAAAGUCUGAUGGAGCAACGCCGCGUGAGCGAAGAAGGUUUUCGGAUCGUAAAGCUCUGUUGCGAGGGAAGAACAAGUACGGGAGUAACUGCCCGUACCUUGACGGUACCUCGUCAGAAAGCCACGGCUAACUACGUGCCAGCAGCCGCGGUAAUACGUAGGUGGCAAGCGUUGUCCGGAAUUAUUGGGCGUAAAGCGCGCGCAGGCGGUCCUUUAAGUCUGAUGUGAAAGCCCACGGCUCAACCGUGGAGGGUCAUUGGAAACUGGAGGACUUGAGUACAGAAGAGGAAAGCGGAAUUCCACGUGUAGCGGUGAAAUGCGUAGAGAUGUGGAGGAACACCAGUGGCGAAGGCGGCUUUCUGGUCUGUAACUGACGCUGAGGCGCGAAAGCGUGGGGAGCAAACAGGAUUAGAUACCCUGGUAGUCCACGCCGUAAACGAUGAGUGCUAAGUGUUAGGGGGUUUCCGCCCCUUAGUGCUGCAGCUAACGCAUUAAGCACUCCCGCCCU